UACGUAGGGUGCAAGCGUUAAUCGGAAUUACUGGGCGUAAAGCGUGCGCAGGCGGUUGUGCAAGACAGAUGUGAAAUCCCCGGGCUUAACCUGGGAAUUGCAUUUGUGACUGCACGGCUAGAGUGUGUCAGAGGGGGGUAGAAUUCCACGUGUAGCAGUGAAAUGCGUAGAUAUGUGGAGGAAUACCGAUGGCGAAGGCAGCCCCC
rnacentral:rRNA from 1 species